rnacentral:tRNA from 2 species
GGCCCGUUCGUCUAACGGUUAGGACGUAAGAUUUUCAUUCUUGAAAUAGGAGUUCGAUUCUCCUACGGGCUA